rnacentral:rRNA from 1 species
UACGUAGGGAGCAAGCGUUGUCCGGAAUCAUUGGGCGUAAAGCGCGCGUAGGCGGCUCGAUCAGUCUGUUGUGAAAAUCCAAGGCUCAACCUUUGAAUGCCGAUGGAUACUGUCGAGCUAGAGUCCGGAAGAGGCGGGUGGAAUUCCUGGUGUAGCGGUGGAAUGCGCAGAUAUCAGGAAGAACACCCGUGGCGAAGGCGGCUCCCUGGGACGGUACUGACGCUGAGACGCGAAAGCGUGGGGAGCGAACAGG